GAGGGUGUGGCGAAGGGGUAAACGCGCCUGACUGUGGCUCAGGUAAUCGCGGGUUCAAAUCCCGUCACUCUCC
rnacentral:tRNA from 1 species